rnacentral:rRNA from 1 species
GAUGAACGCUAGCUACAGGCUCAACACAUGCAAGUCGAGGGGUAGCACGGAGGAAGCUUGCUUCCUUGGGUGACGACCGGCGCACGGGUGAGUAACGCGUAUCCUACCUACCCAUUACUCGGGCACAGCCGCUCUAAAGAGUGAUUGAUUCCCGAUAUGUCAUUAGAAUAGAUCUAAUGAUGAAAGACUUAUCGGUUAUGGAUGGGGAUGCGUAAGAUUAGGUAGUAGGAGGGGUAACGGCCCACCUAGCCGACGAUCUUUAGGGGUUCUGCGAGGAAGGUCCCCCACACUGGUACUGAGACACGGACCAGACUCCUACGGGAGGCAGCAGUGAGGAAUAUUGGUCAAUGGGCGGAAGCCUGAACCAGCCAAGUAGCGUGAAGGAUUACAGCCCUACGGGUUUUAAACUUCUUUUAUAUAAGAGUAAUGUGCACUACGUGUAGUGUAUUGCAAGUAUUAUAUGAAUAAGCAUCGGCUAACUCCGUGCCAGCCGCCGCCGUAAGAC